GAGUAACACGUGGGUAACCUGCCCAGAAGUAGGGGAUAACACCUGGAAACAGAUGCUAAUACCGUAUAACAGAGAAAACCGCAUGGUUUUCUUUUAAAAGAUGGCUCUGCUAUCACUUCUGGAUGGACCCGCGGCGUAUUAGCUAGUUGGUGAGGUAAAGGCUCACCAAGGCAGUGAUACGUAGCCGACCUGAGAGGGUAAUCGGCCACAUUGGGACUGAGACACGGCCCAGACUCCUACGGGAGGCAGCAGUAGGGAAUCUUCCACAAUGGACGCAAGUCUGAUGGAGCAACGCCGCGUGAGUGAAGAAGGGUUUCGGCUCGUAAAGCUCUGUUGUUAAAGAAGAACGUGGGUAAGAGUAACUGUUUACCCAGUGACGGUAUUUAACCAGAAAGCCACGGCUAACUACGUGCCAGCAGCCGCGGUAAUACGUAGGUGGCAAGCGUUAUCCGGAUUUAUUGGGCGUAAAGCGAGCGCAGGCGGUCUUUUAAGUCUAAUGUGAAAGCCUUCGGCUCAACCGAAGAAGUGCAUUGGAAACUGGGAGACUUGAGUGCAGAAGAGGACAGUGGAACUCCAUGUGUAGCGGUGAAAUGCGUAGAUAUAUGGAAGAACACCAGUGGCGGAAGGCGGCUGUCUGGUCUGCAACUGACGCUGAGGCUCGAAAGCAUGGGUGCGAACAGGAUUAGAUACCCUGGUAGUCCAUGCCGUAAACGAUGGAUUACUAGGUGUUGGAGGGGUUCCCGCCCUUCAGUGCUGCACCUAA
rnacentral:rRNA from 1 species